rnacentral:rRNA from 1 species
UGAGGAAUAUUGGUCAAUGGGCGCAAGCCUGAACCAGCCAUGCCGCGUGCAGGAUGACGGUCCUAUGGAUUGUAAACUGCUUUUAUACNGGAAGAAACACUNGGACNUNUNCNAGCUUGACGGUACUGUANGAAUAAGGAUCGGCUAACUCCGUG